UCUGGUUCAGGACGAACGCUGGCGGCGUGCCUAAUACAUGCAAGUCGAACGGCUUUUCUAUGGAAGCUUGCUUCCACUGAGAAGAUAGUGGCGAACGGGUGAGUAACACGUGGGUAACCUGCCCAUAAGAGGGGGAUAACAUCCGGAAACGGGUGCUAAUACCGCAUAGUUUUCUUGAUCGCAUGAUCGGGAAAGGAAAGACGGCCUUUGUGCUGUCGCUUAUGGAUGGACCCGCGGCGUAUUAGUUAGUUGGUGAGGUAACGGCUCACCAAGACGAUGAUACGUAGCCGACCUGAGAGGGUGAUCGGCCACAUUGGGACUGAGACACGGCCCAAACUCCUACGGGAGGCAGCAGUAGGGAAUCUUCCGCAAUGGACGAAAGUCUGACGGAGCAACGCCGCGUGAGUGAAGAAGGUUUUUCCGGGAUCGUAAAACUCUGUUGUCAGAGAAGAACAAGUUGGAGAGUAACUGCUCCAGCCUUGACGGUAUCUGACCAGAAAGCCACGGCUAACUACGUGCCAGCAGCAGC
rnacentral:rRNA from 1 species